rnacentral:rRNA from 1 species
UACGUAGGGUGCGAGCGUUGUCCGGAAUUACUGGGCAUAAAGCGUGCGUAGGCGGCUAUGUAAGACAGAUGUGAAAUCCCCGGGCUCAACCUGGGAACUGCAUUUGUGACUGCAUGGCUGGAGUGCGGCAGAGGGGGUGGAAUUCCGCGGUGUAGCAGUGAAAUGCGUAGAUAUGCGGAGGAACACCGAUGGCGAAGGCAAUCCCCUCGGGCCUGCACUGACGCUCAUGCACGAAAGCCGUGGGGAGCGAAACAACGG